AUUGAACGCUGGCGGCAGGCCUAACACAUGCCAGUCGAACGGUAACAGGAAGCAGCUUGCUGCUUCGCUGACGAGUGGCGGACGGGUGAGUCAUGUCUGGGACACUGCUUGAUGGAGGGGGAUAACUACUGGAAACGGUAGCUAAUACCGCAUAACGUCGCAAGACCAAAGAGGGGGACCUUAGGGCCUCUUGCCAUCGGAUGUGCCCAGAUGGGAUUAGCUAGUAGGUGGGGUAACGGCUCACCUAGGCGACGAUCCCUAGCUGGUCUGAGAGGAUGACCAGCCACACUGGAACUGAGACACGGUCCAGACUCCUACGGGAGGCAGCAGUGGGGAAUAUUGCACAAUGGGCGCAAGCCUGAUGCAGCCAUGCCGCGUGUAUGAAGAAGGCCUUCGGGUUGUAAAGUACUUUCAGCGGGGAGGAAGGGAGUAAAGUUAAUACCUUUGCUCAUUGACGUUACCCGCAGAAGAAGCACCGGCUAACUCCGUG
rnacentral:rRNA from 1 species